rnacentral:tRNA from 1 species
CGGGGCGUAGCGCAGCCUGGUAGCGCACCCGGUUCGGGACCGGGUGGUCGGAGGUUCAAAUCCUCUCGCCCCGACCA